UGAAAUACGAAAUACGCGAAAAGACAAAAAACACAAGAUGUUGUGAUAUAGCAUGCACGGCAAAGUGUCCGUACAAAUUAGUCGUAAAGUGGUCCUAGAUGUUUUGAUCGAUAAUUGAGCCUGACAGUUGUAAGCACUCACUAAUAUGUAAUUAUAUAAAUAUUAUAUAUGUACAGUAAAGGGAAAGGUCAUUCAUAUCUAUAUUCUCGGUUAUCGUGUCACGAAGCUAUAUAUAAGUGAGAACAAUCCAAAUAAAUUUAGUUAGUGGUUCUUAAAACUGAUAGAAGUUGAAAUACCACAAUUGGGAAAAGGCACUCUACGACUCGGAGCAGGUGAAAUAAAAAUGAAAAAGUUCUUGUAUGUCUUGUUGAUCGUGUUAAAUCUUGGCUUGGCUGAAUGUUUUGCUAAGAAAAAUAGAGCUGGUGGAGACUUCGAAUUUGUGAAUCAGCUACGAGCUGGAAGAGAAAUAAAAUCUGAUUAUCAACUACGAGCUGGAAGAGAAAUGAAAUCUGAUGAACAACUACGAGCUGGGAGGAAAUGAAAUCCGAUGAACAACUACGAGCUGGAAGAGAAAUGAAGUUCAAUGAACAACUACGAGCUGGAAGAGAAAUGAAAUCUGAUGAUCAACUACGAGCUGGAAGAGAAAUGAAAUCUGAUGAUCAACUACGAGCUGGAAGAGAAAUGAAAUCUGAUCAUCAACUACGAGCAGGAAGAGAAAUGAAAUCUGAUGAACAACUACGAGCUGGAAGAGAAAUGAACUUUGAUGAACAACUACGAGCUGAAGAGAAAUGAACUUUGAUGAACAACUACGAGCUGGAAGAGAAAUGAAAUCAAUGAUCAACCACGAGCUGGAAGAGAAAUGAACUUUGAUGAACAACUACGAGCUGGCAGAGAAAUGAAGUUCAAUGAACAACUACGAGCUGGAAGAGAAAUGAAAUCUGAUGAUCAACUACGAGCAGGAAGAGAUGAAAAUGAACAACUGAUGAACUGAUGAACAACUACGAGCUGGAAGAGAAAUGAAACUGAUGAACAACUACGAGCUGGAAGAGAAAUGAAAUCCAAUGAUCAACUUCGAGCAGGAAGAGAAAUGAAAUCUGAUGAACAACUACGAGCAGGAAGAGAAAUGAAAUCAAUGAUCAACUACGAGCUGGAAGAGAAAUGAAAUCUCAUGAUCAACUACGAGCUGGAAGAGAAAUGAAAUUUGAUGAACAACUACGAGCUGGAAGAGAAAUGAAAUCUGAUGAUCAACUACGAGCUGGAAGAGAAAUGAAAUCUGAUGAACAACUACGAGCUGGAAGAGAAAUGAAAUCUGAUGAACAACUACGAGCUGGAAGAGAAAUGAAAUCCAAUGAUCAACUACGAGCAGGAAGAGAAAUGAAAUCUGAUGAUCAACUACGAGCAGGAAGAGGAAUGAAAUCUGAUGAUCAACUACGAGCUGGAAGAGAACGGAUUGCUAAACAUAUGCCUUAAGAAACUACAGAGAAGACUCUGAAAGUUAAAAAAACCAGAUACACUUCAGUUGAUACAAGUAGACACACAACACUAGCUUUGACGUCGUAAUUAUAAAAAAAUAGUAUAUGAACUGGAAAUAUUUCAUCGUUGCUUAUGAUUUAUGAACAGCGCAUGAUGUAAUAAUAAUAAACAUUAAUUAUUGUCAUGAAA